UACGAGGGGGGCGAGCGUUGUUCGGAAUUACUGGGCGUAAAGGGCGCGUAGGCGGCCUGUUAAGUCGAACGUGAAAUCCCCGGGCUCAACCCGGGAACUGCGUCCGAUACUGGCAGGCUUGAAUCCGGGAGAGGGAUGCGGAAUUCCAGGUGUAGCGGUGAAAUGCGUAGAUAUCUGGAGGAACACCGGUGGCGAAGGCGGCAUCCUGGACCGGCAUUGACGCUGAGGCGCGAAAGCCAGGGGAGCAAACGGG
rnacentral:rRNA from 1 species